GACGAACGCUGGCGGCGUGCUUAACACAUGCAAGUCGAACGAUGAACUUGGAGCUUGCUCUGGGGGAUUAGUGGCGAACGGGUGAGUAACACGUGAGUAACCUGCACUGGACUCUGGGAUAACUUCGAGAAAUCGGAGCUAAUACCGGAUAGGACCUUGCACCGCAUGGUGUGGGGUGGAAAGUUUUUCGGUUUGGGAUGGACUCGCGGCCUAUCAGCUUGGUGGUGAGGUAAUGGCGCACCAAGGCGUCGACGGGUAGCCGGCCUGAGAGGGCGACCGGCCACACUGGGACUGAGACACGGCCCAGACUCCUACGGGAGGCAGCAGUGGGGAAUAUUGCACAAUGGGCGCAAGCCUGAUGCAGCAACGCCGCGUGCGGGAUGACGGCCUUCGGGUUGUAAACCGCUUUUAGUAGGGAAGAAGCCUUCGGGUGACGGUACCUGCAGAAAAAGGACCGGCUAACUACGUGCCAGCCGCCGCGGUAAUAC
rnacentral:rRNA from 1 species